rnacentral:rRNA from 1 species
ACGCUCGACACCUACGGGGAGCAGCAGGUGGGGAAUAUUGCACAAUGGGGGGAAACCCUGAUGCAGCGACCGCCGCGUGAAGGGAAAGGAAGUAUCGUCGGUAUAGUAACGUUCUAAUCUAGCAGGGAAGAAAGUGACGGUACCUGACUAAGAACGCCCCGGUCUAACUACGUGCCAGCGAGCCGGGUAAUCGUGAGGCCGGGUCGUGGACGAAGGC